rnacentral:rRNA from 1 species
UACGUAGGCAGCAAGCGUUGUUCGGAGUUACUGGGCGUAAAGAGCGUGUAGGCGGCUUUACAGGUCCGUUGUGAAAACUCGAGGCUCAACCUCGAGACGUCGGUUGAAACCGCUUGGCUAGAGUCCGGAAGAGGAGAGUGGAAUUCCCGGUGUAGCGGUGAAAUGCGCAGAUAUCGGGAAGAACACCCGUGGCGAAGGCGGUUCUCUGGGACGGUACUGACGCUGAGACGCGAAAGCGUGGGGAGCGAACAGG